UUCAUGUUCAUCCAUACAGACUCCUUGCAUCCAUGCAUGUGUGUUUCUUUUCAAGAAGGAGCAAAAAAGAAGAAGGAAGAUGCUUUAUUUUUAGAGACUGGGACCAGAUGAGUUUCAGUAUCAAAGCAAGGGAAGAUGAUUCACAAGGCAGAAGAGUGGAGUAGCUUUACCCUUUGUCAACAGUUAACUUUUAGAAGAUCAUAGCCAUGACUGCUAUGGACAAAAGAAAUGCUCCUGGAUGAUCCUUGUCUUCAGGACUGGUAAAUGUGUGUUGGCAGUUGGACCACCAGGGAUACCAUUUAUUGACAGUCAUGGCACAGGUGAAAAUGGUCAUAAUCAGCUCUUCAGUUAACCCAGAUAUCCUAAGAUGAAGUACUGGAAUAUUAGCAGAGUAACUAUGAGCUGCAAGGGGAAACGGUUGACCAGGCAGACAGGAAAGUCGUGCACUGCAUGUUGCACAGUGACUGUGAGGGAGUCCCUUUGCAAAAUGUAUGUGAGCCUUUAUAAGAUCAACUUAAGCAGGUAAGUUCACGUGUGUUGUGGUGAGAUAUGCAACUUCCUUUCUGUCAUCUGCAAUUGGUGGCAAUGCUAAAACUGGCUAAGAGUUUUUGGAAGAGAAAUACCCCAAAGUUACUCCAAGAGCUCAAAGGACACCAUCAAAUUAGCUAAGAAGUCAUCCAGUACUAAGUGCAUGCUAAAAGCUUCUAGAAAAGUCUGGGCCUCUUUCCUUCACAAAAAUGUAAAAUACUUGGUAAAUAUACUUGUUUUAAUGAUUUCAUUGUAUGCUACGCAGUGAAGUCUGGUGCAAAAAACCAUCGAACUUGCUAUCAUAAGGAGAAACCAGCCACCCCAGGUAGGUAUUAAUGACUGUAGGAAACAAUUAUAUAAAUGGUAUGCAAAAUCUUCUCACAAAAAUUAUUCCAGGUGACACCUGUGCAUUCAACUUGAUGUAUGAAAUCUCCCCUAACAUCUGGUGGUACAAUGUUAGGUGACUUUUGUAGUGUCUCUGUAGAUUGAUAGUGCUGGGAGCUAUAAUGGUUGCUGCUGAUUUAUAAUAGCAUAAGACACUGUUGGGAACAUUUCAUGCAGGAAGCAGUGUAGGAAGGUGUAUGGCAACAUGCUACUUGUGUGGGUUGUAUAAGACAUUAUCAUUGUCUUUAAAAAUGAUGAAAAUUAUAGCAGUGUUUUAUCCCGUAGUGAUCCUUAUCACAGUGUUUCUGACAUGUUGUUGUCCCUUUCUAGCUUAAUAGCUUCUGUUUCCAUCACAAGUGGCAGAUACAGGCUUUAUAGUAUAUAAAAAACUUGCAUUAAAAUAUUAUCAGAAUGCAGUAUUCUCAUUUUUUUUGUAAGUUACUGUAAUACUACUUCUAUAAAGUCCUGCUAACACACUAAAGGAAGAUAAACUUUGCUCAGCACUGGUGAGGCCACACCUGGAGUGUUGUAUUCCGUUCUGGGCACCCCAGUAUGAGAGAGACAUGGAUGUACUGGAGAGAGUCCAGCAAAGGGCCCCAAGGAUGAUGAAAGGACUGGAACAUCUCACCUAUGAGGAAAGGUUGAGAGUGUUUGGACUGCUGAGCCUGGAGAAGGCUCAGGGAGAUAAUGUCUAUAAACACCUGAUAGGAUGGUGCAAAGAGGACAGCACCAGUGGUGUUCAGUGACAAGACUGGAGGUAACAGGCUCAAACUGAAAUACAGGAAGUUGUGUUGAACAUCAGGAUUCUUUUUUUAUUGUAUUUUUUUUUUUUUUUACAAUGAGGGUGAUGGAGCAUCAGAGGGUAUUGCCUGUCUCUAGGUAUUCAGCUUGAAUAACAAAUUUUAAUGAGUAAACUUUGAAAUUCAGUAUGCAUUUCCUCUCUCCCAGUAUGAUUGUACAUUAUAUGAUUAUGACUUGGAUGUUUCGGAAACAGUACAGAAAAAAUAUGGGAGGGAACAAUAUGUAAAUGCAUUUUCCCAAGUGUUUAAAUAGGGCAAACAAUUUGCUUUGCAUUAAUGCUUUUGAAAUUAGACUAAUUUUUCCAUUUUAA